CCUUCACCGAGUAAAGGUUAUCUCUUUAUAAAUUUUGCCUAUUUAUAACGGAGAGAUGAUUAUUGUUAUAAUUGUCUUUCCAAAAAAAGCAUCGUGAAUUGGGCAAAGUAACCACUAAAAUAGUAUGUAGAAAGUACAUAAAAUAGAGUUUACAUUUAUGGGUAAUAGAGAUUUGGGUAACACUUUCUUUGGAUGGAACGGUUGUUUCAAUGGGGCCGACUGGAUAAUCAUCUAGAAAUAUUAAAAACUUUGACCUUGAUUCAAAUUUUUUUAUUAUAAAUGAUCAAAACUAAUGUCAACAACUAGUUGUUCAUCCAGUAAUUUUAUAAUCAAGGGAACUUAUGGGAUUAAGUGCAAAAUUUAGGGUCUGUCGACCACUUGAGAGAGAGAGAGAGAGAGAGAGAGAGAGAGAGAGAGAGAAUGCCAGUUGAGAUAUGAUGUUUGGAAAACAAAAUUGCCAGCUUCCUCAGCAUAUAUUAAAUGGUAUGGGCCAACUAUGAAACCUUGAACAUCUUCACCUAACAUGCAAACUAAAUUAUUAUUGUGAAUAUUUUGGAUAUCACUACUACACACCUCUUUGAAUUGAUUGUGAUCGGUUUAAUUUCAUUACGCUAUUAUCUGAUUUUGAAAACUGUUGUUAGCAUUCCAAAAUUUUUAUACACUCUUGACAAAUGUAUUUUUCUUUCUAAUUAUAGAAAGUUUAGAAUGUAAAAUGAAAUUUUUGGAUUGCGAAUAACAAUUCCUAAGUAAUAUUGCUCUAGUAUAAAAUAAAAUGAUAUUUGAAAAGUCUCAUUUGUUCAUAAAAAAUAAUUUUUCCACUUAUUUUUUACAUUACACUACUCUCAUUUCUUGUCUUUAAAUAUAAUAAUUGAAAGGAAAAAUUAAGAGAAAUUAAGUUUUAGACGGAAGUACCUUAAGAUGAAAUAAAAAGCACUCGCUUUGUUUAUAAAUAAAAUUUUAAGAAGACCAAAUUUUUAGAUGACAUGAUGUGAUGAUUGAUAAUUGGACUCGGUUUUUUAUAAACCGGCACAUCAAUGUACCCUAUAAAAAAAAUCUAAAAUUUAGUCUCUAUAACAUCACCCUUUAUUCAAGUUUAGUGAAAGAUUAGUGUUUAAAAUUUGUAUUAUUAUACAGGCAUUUUCAAUUGUUUAAAUCGUUAUUCAUGAACAAGAUCUAUAGAGACAUAUAGACUCAUGGAUCCAUAUAUCCCGAUCGAAAAAGUAUUAACAGAAGAAAAAGAAUUGGAAUUGAUGGAUAUAUUUAUCGAAACAAAGCAUCCAAACGUCAACGACAGGAUACUCACGCGGAACCUGGUGAUUGGUUGAAAGCAUGAAAGUAACAUGGAGUGUCACGUCAGAUCAUUGCCGUACGAAUCCGGGUCAAGUCAGUGAUGAGGUUUGCGUAAGAAGAGCGUAAGAUAAGAGACUCCCGAGUCCCGAGCGGGUCCCACCGGUCUGAGAAAAGAAAACGCAAUCCCCCACCGGUGGCUCAGCCUUUUGCUGGCCUGGGACGGCGUCGCACGCUCGGCUGACUGGUUGUGGUUGGCCGUUUCGAAAAAGGGUGGGAAGACAAGAGGGUCACGUGAGGUAAGCAUGCACAGUAACUUGUGCCAUGCAAGAGCAGCGACUGAAUACUCCCGACGAAAGGCUCUCUAGGCUCCUCAGUCUCAGUCUCAGUCUCAGUCUCAGCGUAGGGUUAGGGUUCUUAAAUUAUGUUCCUAUGGAAUUGGAUCCGUUACGGACUUUAGUGUCCGGAAUCUAAGGAUUAAAUAAUCUAAACUGAUGAUUGGUGUGCAAAACAAAUCAGAACCGUUGGUUGUGUGUGAUGGACCAAAAAAAUGAAUUAAUAAAAAUCGUUGAAUUCAAUUUAAACGGUCCAGAUUGAUGGAUCCUUAGACUCUAGACACUAAGAUCUGAAGCGGAUCUAAUUCCAUGAUCUUAUGUCAGUAAAACACUAUUGAUUUUAUGAGCAAAGAAACUAUAAGUAUUUUAAUUAUUAUUAUUAUUAUUUGGUCGAAUAUGUAUUUUAAUUAUUGUUUAUGGUUUUUAAAAUUCAUAGGCCUGUUCUUUGUGUUACGGCCUACAGGCUGUACUCUAUGCUAACGAAGUUUAAUUUGUUUUUGUCGAGAAAAAAGUUUAAUUUAUACAUAACCAAUAGUUGUUCGGACUAAGUUUUUUGAUUAGUUGAGUUGGUUCAACUGGAUUGGUUGGUUCGUCUUUUAAGGUUAAAUACAAGUGAAAUAUUGGAAGGGUUUGAGCGCUGAGCCUCGACAUUGAAUAAACAUUGUGAAUUACCUGAAUUACAGGUUACUUGUUUUACUUCAUUCAUGAAAAAUGAUAGAAAUAUAAUAAAAAUAAAUGGUUUAUCAACAUAAACACUAAUUGAACGAAUACGUAUGGAAAUUCCUACGCUCACAUAACUAAUGAUCCAUGCACGUAUUUGUGCUUAAACUAAUAUUAAUUUUACGUCUUUCAUGUUUUAGAUGAUUUCAAAAUGGACUAGAGUGUUUCAAUUUUCUCAAUUACACUAAAAGAGAGUUUAAAAUCGUAUCAAUUUAUGUCUUCAAUCUAUUAUUAUUUUUUUUGGGAAAUUUCUUUAAUUUAUUUUGACCGUAUGGUGCUCGUUAAAUUGAUUCCAUGGCAAAUGUAGGACCCCUUGUGUGCAAUUUUUCUCAAGUUCAUGGGGUAUGAAAUCCAUCUAGCCUCUUAUAUUGGGCCUUAUAGAGGCUAGACGUGGGAUUUUUUGUUGUGGGCUUAAAUAUUUGUUGGAUCUGUUGGAUUCAGUGGUUGUGCAAAAUUUCUGUGGCCAAAUGGCCCAAAUCUUACUUUUAGUUUAUGAAAUUAGUUGAGGUUUGCUUUUGGUCUUUGUGGUUUGAGUUGUCUCAGUGUUUUUUUUUUUUUGAAAUAAAUGAUAAUGUCUACACUAAGAGGAAGUGGGUGGACUAAGACUCAAAAUAGACUUGCAAUAAUAUGAUUCAAAACUUUGGCAAGAAUCAAACCUAAUACCUCUUACUUACCAGUGAAGAAAAAUACCACUAAACUAUAUUAUUAAGUGACCAGUUGUCUCAGUUUAGUUAUUGUAGUUUAGUAAACUUGCAAUUCAAGGAGACUAUACAUUUUCCAUCCAUGUAGUCAAGGGAAAGAUAAUUGCAAUUAUUGCAUAAUUGUUGUAAAUAGUGUGUGGAUGGUCCACAUGAAUAAUUUGUUACUAUUUAUGCACAGUAUUUUCACUAUUCAUUUGUGGAAAAUUUGUAAAGUGAAUAGUGCUUUCUUUUGUUUAUAUAAAGGAAGAAGAGGAAUGAAGUGAGGGAAGUUCACGGGAAAGAAAGAGAGGAAGGAAGGAAGAGGAAGAGAGAGAAGGAAGAGGAAGAGAGAGAAUAGAGGAAGAUGAGAGGAGAUAAUAGAGAGAGUUAUCUUUGUACUCCUAUUAUUUCAGAUUAUAAUGAAAGCAUCACAGCUGCCCCGAGGACGUACUCCAGUCACACUGACUGUAGAGGAACCUCGUAAAUUUUGUGUCUUGUUUCAUUUAUUCCACUGCACCCACCGUCGAUUUUACAACACGUUAACAGCACGAGAAGCUCUCAUGUCGGUGGAAAGCACUACUUACCUCUCACCUCUAUCGGCUGGAAUCUCACAGAUAAGAAAAUCUUUUCAUUUCAUUCUUAUAUCUCUAAAUGACUAAUUUUCUUAAAGUAAAUAUACAUGUGGUUAUAUAAGUAUUGUUAUUAUUAUUGGCAGAAAAUCCGACAAUCAUAUGAGCUUUGAAAACUUCAACUUCCAGUGCUCAUACAGAAACCAUUCCUUCAUAAACGUUGUUCCUUAUCCUCUCUCCCAUAACAUACCAAAAUUCCAGAACCAUCCAACGGUUAAAUCAUUCCAGAUCUUAGAAAUAAUACUACAGACUCAAAAUUCGCAGAAAAUUUGGCAGCCAUGUAAAUAGCCACUGAACUCCAACUUCCUGACAUCCGAUUGAAAUACUUUCUUCUUGAAAGUUGUUUGUCCGCCUAGUACCUAGAACAUAUCCAAAUUUCAGAAAUUGUCAACGGUGCGAUCGUCGUAGAUGACUGAAACUUCAACUCAGCUUCCAUUUCCGCAGAAAACUGGACAGCCAUCUUAUGAGUACCAAACCUUCAUUUUCAGAAGCUCAGCUCGAAACUGUUUCUUCAUGAAAGUUGUUUGGUAUCUUCUUAUCCAUAUCAUACUAAAUUUUGAGUUAAAUCUAACGGUUUGAUCUUCUUAUAAGUGGCAGACAAAGAAAAGUGAUUAUUUUGGGUAGUUGAAAAGAAAGCUCGUCCAACUGCAAGAAUCCGAAAGUCGGAUUCAAAGUGAUCACCAGAGGUUCGUUGCUAGAUUCCGAAAGUAACUGAUGCCUUCCCCUUCUGGUGUUUUGCUAAGUACUGGGGUGCCACAUGAUCAAUCUCCAGUGCCUCCCCCUUCUGGGGUACUUCCGAGUACUGAGGCUUCACAUGAGCAACAUUUGUGAAGGCUCCAUCCUGUUUGUUUGUUUUAACUCAUGUGUAUGUAUAUAUCUGUAAUUUCUUGGAGAUAUUAAUAAACAAGCUUUAUUUACUUUAAAGCAAUUUAUUUACCAUGGACGGUUUUACCACCUAUUGCUUUAAGUUUUGAUGGUGCUGAAUUAAAGCCCUUGUCACAAGCUUUAUUUACUUAAAUGCAAUUUAUUCAUUAUGGCUGGAAUUACCGUCUAUUGCUUUAAUUUAUUUAUUGUACUUAUCUUUUGUUACAAUGAGUAUAACAAGAACCCAGAGUUCCUUGAUUAGAUCAGAACCUGCAGUUUCUUGAUCCUCAUCACAUAAAAUGAUAGGACCCGAAGUUCCAUCAUACAAAAAGAUCAGGCAUGAAGUUCUUUGAUCCUGAAGAUCAGGACAUGAAAUUCCUUGAUGAGUACCGUAAGUUUGAAGUGCCACAGUGCCUCAACUUAAUUAUAAUAAAGGUCAUAAAAGUCUCAGUCCAUAGAUUAUUUAAUAAGGACCAGAAGUUCCUUAUGUCCAUACUUAAAAUGGUUUAGCAGAAGCAUUUAUUAAGCGGAUGAAAUUGAUUACCCGCGCUCUGCUCAUGAAAACGAAAUUACCAGUUUUCUACAUGGGGACAUGUCAUUUUACAUGACGCAUUAUUAAGUUCGGAUGAGACCAGUUUCCAACCAUCAAUACUACUCAGUACAACUUGUGUUUGGGCACAAGCCAAACAUUAUACAGUUAUGAGUUUUUGGUUGUGUUAUCAAUGUGCCUAUUGCAUUGCCACAACAUACUAAAAUAAGGCAUCAACGCAAAACUGGAAAUUUAUGUUGGAUUGAUUCAUCAUCUAUCAUUCAAUAUUUAGAACCCUUGACUGGGGAUAUAUUUACCGCUUGGUUUGCGGACUGUCAUUUUGAUAAGACAAUUUUCCUGACAUUAGGGGGAGAAAAUAAUAUCGUUCCAGAAGAACGAUGAGAAAAUAUCAUUCCAAAAGAAUGAUGAGAAAAGACCGUUCCAGAAGAACGAAGAGAAUUUGUCUUAUUUUGAUUCACGAAGCAAUCAAUAAGAAAUGAAAUAUGAAUAAUUGAAUGAUGCAACGAAAGUGAUGAAAUCAUAUAUACUUACUGCAAAUGUGCCUACAAGAAUUGAUGUCUCUGUUGGAUAAAAUAAUGAGACAGUAAAUGAUUUAUAUGUUGCACGCCUGAAGCGUGGCAGAUUUUUAAACUCAAAAGGUUCAGUUAUUCGAAAGAAGAAUAAUAUGGCACUACUGAACUAUUGCAUUCCCGAAGCAUAACUGUUGCAUGCCAGAAGCAUGACAGUCGCCGCGUGGAUACACGUCCCAGAUAGGACAAUCCACAGACAUGGGAAUAUUGAUGUCUCAUGCAUGAAGCAUGAUUGAUGUAUAGGUUCUAAAUGACUCAACUCUUGGAAGUGGAGAUUAAAAUCCAAGCUCUAUAACGCUCAAGAAGAGGUUAUGAUCCGCAUUCUCUAAACUAUGACUAUCCUGGAAGAGAUAGUGUAAUGCCCUUGAAGAGGCAAUGGAUAUCCAAAGAAAUGAAAAGCUUUUAUGCAUGUGCAUGCACAUGAGAAUAUGGGAUCACAGAUUGAUGAUAACCAAUGGUAAUUUUGGUUUUUACAAGUAGCUACUAAAUUCAUCAAUGAGCUGUGUUAAUAUUGAGUCACGUUCUUUUGUUCGUCGACAAAAGGAAAAUUAUUGGCCAAAAUGGAGAAAGGCAAUUCCAUUACAAUUUUGUAAGAACGUGGAAAAAUGGAUCUAUAUAUUUGAAUGUAAUACAAAUAGCCAAAAGAUGUUGAACCAAGGAGAUUAUAUAUAUGGGCAUUUGUAAUACAGUGUAAUACACUUACAUGAUAUGACACAAGGUUGUAAAUGAGUUCAUAUAAAUGGAGAAUUAUAUAUGAAGGGUUGUGAGUCACCCACAUCAUAUCUCCAUAAGUAAAUCCCUCAAAUAUACAUGGGAGCAAAUUGCUCUGUAUAAAUUCCAAAGGAAAAUGUGUCAUGAAGUGUAGAAAAUCCCUGAAGGAUUCAAAUUGCUUGAAGUAAGCCCCCGAAGGGUAAAACAUAAAUUAUGAACUCAAUAUCAAUGGAUGAUAUAAAUUGCCUUAGUGAGUACUAUCAUUAUGAUAUUGUUGCAAUAUACUAAAAUCUCUUGCAAGAGUCAAUGACAUUAAAUUAGAACUCUUGAAGAGUUGAUGAUAUUAAAUUGGGACUCCUGAAGAGUCUAGAAAAAAUUAUAAAGUGUUGAAGGAAUUAUUGUCUCGAGCUGCAGAUCGAACAAUCUACCAACACGAAUCUUAUCCAUGAUAUUUAUGAUAUUAAAAGAACCAUAUGGAUUGAAGAUUAUGAGUUGAAUACUCAUAUGAUGAAGACACUAAGAAUAAUCAUUUAUCUUCGUGAGGGUAAAGAUUAAAUAAUACUUGGUCCAGAAGUACCACAUCUUAGUGAAGUAUAUGCUUUAUUGUAUUUGGCACAAUACAUUGAAUGAAAUAAAGCUUAUUUAUUAAUAUCUCCAAGAAAUUACAGAUAUAUACAUACACAUGAGUUAAAACAAACAAACAGGAUGGAGCCUUCACAAAGGUUGCUCAUGUGAAGCCUCAGUACUCGGAAGUACCCCAGAAGGGGGAGGCACUGGAGAUUGAUCAUGUGGCACCCCAGUACUUAGCAAAACACCAGAAGGGGAAGGCAUCAGUUACUUUCGGAAUCUAGCAACGAACCUCUGGUGAUCACUUUGAAUCCGACUUUCGGAUUCUUGCAGUUGGACGAGCUUUCUUUUCAUGCUCGUAGAGUAACUAUUUGCAAGCACGUGUAACACCCUAUUCUCGUGCUUGAGCCCUUUGAUCUCUUGUUUAAGACUUGCCACCUCUGCCAUCAAUGAUUCAACUUGGCGAGUUUGAGCAAGUAGGCGUUGGCCCAUAUUGGACACAGAGCCAACACACUGAACACUGAGAGCCAAUGAGUCUUGAACAGCCGACUCUUCAGACCGUUCUGAAAGGAUCUUGUUAUCCCUUGGAGUGAGAAGAUUCCUAGCUACCACAGUAGCGGUUAUGUUAUUCUUCAUCACAGAGUCACCAACCGUAAGAGGACCAUUAGAAGAUAAGAAGGACGGGCGCCAUAUAUUAUCAUGACGCUGCUCGUCUGUAUCACUCCUAAGACUCAAAUCUAAGCAAAUGUUAGAUGGGCAAGUCAUUUUUCAGAAAUGAUGAAGGAAAAACAGAGGUCAAAUAAAAUUUCAGAAGUGCAAGAAGGUGGAAAUUUCUCAGGCAGCAAUUUUCUGAGCAUACCCUUGAACACAAUUGAUGUCUCUAUAAAAGAAGAGGCAGCAGAGCCACUUGUUCAAAGAUCGAAGAGGCACCGCUCUCCGAAUUUCAAAAGCCAGAUUUUCCUGAAUAAAGUUCGUUGGCAUUUUUCAGACGUAAUCCCCAACUUUUUCAGAUGUCGCGUGCAAUUUUGUCAAAGAUCUCUGACAAAGUUGAAAACGCGUAAAUCUUACUGUUCUAUUUACACCACAGUUGCUGACAAGAGUAAAAAGCACAGCACCACCACUUGCUAUUGAGAAAUCUCUAUAUAUGUCGACCUCUGUUCUCCAUAACAAGGCAGACCCGCAACACUGCAAGAAUACCUAACUCUUCCUCAUCUCCGAGAAUGCAUCUUCAACAUAGCAUCUCGAAAUACUCAGUUUUCUUCCUCUCCGAGAAUACCUCUUCAAACAUGUCACACCAGAGCAAGAUUAUCACAUAUCUUCAGGGACCAGAGCAAGAUUAUCUCAUAUCAUGCAAUCUCCCUGUCCUUUCCUUUGUCCAUGUUCUUGCCUGCGAAGACAAGGAUAAAGAAAGCAAUAUGUCGAAACCUCCACUCAAACUCCCGGUAAGGAACCGACUGCCUGGAACCUUUCCUGAUUGCUUACCUAAUGUUGCUCUCGAGUAGUCAUCUUCAACGGUUGGAGCUGGGUCUCCAGUCACCAAGAAGUGAUGAACCAUCCAAAUGCAAGGGUUGCACUCCACUCCGGCAUUAGAGGGCAAAUACUGCCGGAGAAGAUGCCACACAUGCAUGGGGGAAAAGCAGGGAAAAUACUACUUAAGCAAGGGGAGCAAGUAAGGAAAGUAAAAAUGAUACAUUGAAGCAUGUGGAGACAAGCGCAACAAACGCGUGCUGAUUCAUCCCUGACAAAACUGAAGAUCACUUGCCACAUGAAGCUCCUCAUGGUCCAAUUUCAUUCAAGAUCAAGCAUCGAAGGUCCUUGAAGAAAUCACAAGUCCGAUUCAAUAUCAAGUGUUCACUACUCUUGAAUCAAAUUUCGCUCCAGAUAAAAGGAGUAAAUUCAGACAUUUGGAUGCUAGUCUAGCAGAAAGUCCUACAACCCAGUUCAAGAAAAAGCCUGUGGAAAGUUAACAACAAGUAAAGCAACUCUUUCAGCAACUCUUCUUACUAAGAGACUAAAUCAGAACGAUCAACGAUCAACCUAAAUGAUUUGAAAUCAGGGGGAGAUACUCAUCAGGGGGAGCAUCCAAGACAGAUCAAGGUUUUAACGAGUCAAUCGAAGACUUGUGGCCAUCCAAGGGGGAGUGUUGUAAAUAGUGUGUGGAUGGUCCACAUGAAUAGUUUGUUACUAUUUAUGCACAGUAUUUUCACUAUUCAUUUGUGGAAAAUUUGUAAAGUGAAUAGUGCUUUCUUUUGUUUAUAUAAAGGAAGAAGAGGAAUGAAGUGAGGGAAGUUCACGGGAAAGAAAGAGAGGAAGGAAGGAAGAGGAAGAGAGAGAAGGAAGAGGAAGAGAGAGAAUAGAAGAAGAUGAGAGGAGAUAAUAGAGAGAGUUAUCUUUGUACUCCUAUUAUUUCAGAUUAUAAUGAAAGCAUCACAGCUGCCCCGAGGACGUACUCCAGUCACACUGACUGUAGAGGAACCUCGUAAAUUUUGUGUCUUGUUUCAUUUAUUCCACUGCACCCACCGUCGAUUUUACAACAAUAAUAUAGAUAUUGAAUGGAUGAGACUAAUUGACUUUCAAAUGGCACGAUUGUAAUAAAAUAUAAAGAAACAAAGAAAUGGACAUGUGUGAAAAACAUAGUCAAGUCGUCAUUUAGUACUACGGUCUAGUGGUUUUCCUUUUCACUGGUAAGUGAGGUGUUAGAUUCGAUUCUCGUCAAAUGCGAAUAUGAACCACAUUAUUGCUAGCUCAUUAUGAGGUUAAAUCUACCAUUCC
rnacentral:lncRNA from 1 species